rnacentral:sRNA from 1 species
AGAUAUACACACUAUGGGUACAUUUGCGAGAGAGGGAACAAAGUCGGGCCUAAACCAGUUUCGCCAGCAAGCUGAGAACGAGCCGUAGUAAGAGUGUAGAAGCAAAGUCAAAACCUAAUGGUAAAAGCCAUCAUCCACCAACAACAACAAUAAAGAGAGGUGGGAGAUUGAACCAUCAGUUACAUGGUCAACAAAGAAGGAAUGAGAGAGAACGAGAGAGGAAUGGAAAAAGGGCGAGAGAGAGAGAGAGAAAAGAAUUGAGCACAAGCACAAUAACAUUUACUGUUAUUUUCAAUGCGACUUUGGAGCUCGGGGCGAGAAUCAAAAUGGGCACACGAAGCUCUAAAUGCGUGAGCGGAUGUGUGCAUGUGUGCGUGCGUCUGUGUGCAAUAAAGAGAGCGAUAUUCUGUUAUACAAAAUUUGACCUUAGUGGUGAGAAAG